rnacentral:rRNA from 1 species
GACGAACGCUGGCGGCGUGCUUAACACAUGCAAGUCGAACGGAAAGGCCCCUUUGGGGGUCCUCGAGUGGCGAACGGGUUAGUAACACGUGAGUAACCUGCCCUUGACUUCCGGAUAACUUCAGUAAACUGGGGCUAAUACCGGAUAGGAAUCCUUGCUGCAUGGUGGGGGUUGGAGAGCUUCGGCGGUUUUGGAUGGGCUUGCGGCCCAUCCGCUUGUUCGUGGGGUAGUGGCUUACCAAGGCUGUGACGGGUAGCCGGCCUGAGAGGGCGACCGGCCACAGUGAGACUGAGACACGGACCAGACUCCGACGGGAGGCAGAAGUGGGGGAGAGUGAAAAAUGGGCGGAAGCGUGAGGCAGAAACGCCGCGGGCGGGAUGACGACCUUCGGGUUGGAGUCCGCAUGCAGCAGGGGCGAAGCUGGUAGUGACAGUACCUGCAGAAGAAGCACCGGCUAACUACGUG